rnacentral:rRNA from 1 species
AACGAACGCUGGCGGCAUGCCUAACACAUGCAAGUCGAACGAUCCCUUCGGGGAUAGUGGCGCACGGGUGCGUAACGCGUGGGAACCUGCCCUUAGGUUCGGAAUAACAGUUAGAAAUGACUGCUAAUACCGGAUAAUGUCUUCGGACCAAAGAUUUAUCGCCUUUGGAUGGGCCCGCGUUGGAUUAGCUAGUUGGUGGGGUAAAGGCCUACCAAGGCGACGAUCCAUAGCUGGUCUGAGAGGAUGAUCAGCCACACUGGGACUGAGACACGGCCCAGACUCCUACGGGAGGCAGCAGUGGGGAAUAUUGGACAAUGGGCGAAAGCCUGAUCCAGCAAUGCCGCGUGAGUGAUGAAGGCCUUAG